CCUACGGGUGGCUGCAGUGGGGAAUAUUGCACAAUGGGCGCAAGCCUGAUGCAGCCAUGCCGCGUGUGUGAAGAAGGCCUUCGGGUUGUAAAGCACUUUCAGCGGGGAGGAAGGCGGUGAGGUUAAUAACCUCAUCGAUUGACGUUACCCGCAGAAGAAGCACCGGCUAACUCCGUGCCAGCAGCCGCGGUAAUACGGAGGGUGCAAGCGUUAAUCGGAAUUACUGGGCGUAAAGCGCACGCAGGCGGUCUGUCAAGUCGGAUGUGAAAUCCCCGGGCUCAACCUGGGAACUGCAUUCGAAACUGGCGGGCUAGAGUCUUGUAGAGGGGGGUAGAAUUCCAGGUGUAGCGGUGAAAUGCGUAGAGAUCUGGAGGAAUACCGGUGGCGAAGGCGGCCCCCUGGACAAAUACUGACGCUCAGGUGCGAAAGCGUGGGGAGCAAACAGGAUUAGAUACCCGAGUAGUC
rnacentral:rRNA from 1 species